rnacentral:rRNA from 1 species
ACGGGAGGCAGCAGUGAGGAAUAUUGGUCAAUGGACGAGAGUCUGAACUAGCCAAGUAGCGUGCAGGAUGACGGCCCUAUGGAUUGUAAACUGCUUUUGUACGGGAAUAAAGUGACCUACGUGUAGGUUUUUGCAUGUACCGUAAGAAUAAGGACCGGCUAAUUCCGUGCCAGCAGCCGCGGUAAUACGGAAGGUCCGGGCGUUAUCCGGAUUUAUUGGGUUUAAAGGGAGCGUAGGCCGUGCUUUAAGCGUGUUGUGAAAUGUAGGCGCCCAACGUCUGCACUGCAGCGCGAACUGGAGCACUUGAGUACGCAGGAAGUAGGCGGAAUUCGUCGUGUAGCGGUGAAAUGCUUAGAUAUGACGAAGAACUCCGAUUGCGAAGGCAGCUGACUGUAGCGUAACUAACGCUGAAGCUCGAAAGUGUGGGUAUCGAACAGGAUUAGAUACCCUGUA